UCCUCCGCUUGUGUUUGUUCUCUGAGCCCGCUUCAGGUUUUUACUGUGGCUGGCAAGAGCAGUCUGGGGUGGCUUUGACAGAGCAUCACGUGGUUUCUUUUAAGCAUUGAUAACGGGUUUGGAUCCUGCCAAACAUUUCCCAUUCACAAAGAUUUCUAGCACAUCUGCCUUGCUAUUUCCCAUUGCAGGCCAAAUGCCUUCGGGGAGCGCACCCCCCCACCCCCCCCCCGCCUCCCAACAAUGUUGUGGGAAGCUGGAGGUCACUGGCAGGAGGGGCAUGGUUGGCAGAAAAUCACUUCCUACUGGUGGAAUUGCUCUGUGGGAUCCAGCCCAGUAGUUCAUAGAUAUCUGACAAAACAUUUUAACAAUUUCCAAUCUUAGCUGGAGCUAAUGUGUAGGUACUUUGGGACCCAUGAAGUGGGAAACUGUUGGUUUGCUAGUUAAGCCAGCAUGAGGACAGUAACCCAGGGGCCCACUGUCUUUUAUAAUUAAAAGAGCCAAAUUGUAUCAAAAUGGAGAAAGCAAGGACCAACUGUAAGAACCCAUUUGGUCAAUUCAUAGUAGCCAACACAAGGGAUAGGCAUGGAGAUUCCACAGCUUAAACUAACAGUUUUAAUAUACUUUCGAAGGCUUUCAUGGCCGGAUUCAACUGGUGGUGGGUUUUUCGGGCUGUGGCCAUAGUCUGGUAGAUCUACCAGACCACUGCCACACAGCCAGGAAAACCCACCACAGCCAACUAACAGUUGUAAAUCCUUUAUUUGGAAAUUGUACACUUACACAGUCUCACACUCAGUAAUAAAUACACCCAGGAGCACACUGAUGGUUGUAGUGUGCUGUUGUAAAUCUUCCAACUUGGAUUACUGUCAAACUUGUUUGCCGUCAUUUCCCUUUCAAUAAAGCAUCUCCAAGGAGCCCUAGCAUAACCUGUGUGCUGGCAAGUUACAAUGAACUUAUGGCAAUCCCCCAAGGGGUUGUCACCAGAUGAGGAGAGGUGGUUUGCCACGGCCUUCCCCGUAGAGCAGCCCUGGGGGGUUUCCUUGGUGGGCUCUUGUCCAAGUACUAACUGUAGCUGCCCUGCUUAGCUUCCAAGCACUUAUAAUUGUAGUCAGGGCAAUUGUGUCUGCUUUGCCCUUUAAUUCCAUUAAAAAGUUGCCGUUGCUUUCCCUAACGGGUUAUUUCAGUGUCUCAACUACUGUUUUGCUGUUAAGUCACAUCUGACUCGUGGCAACCCGUGGUGGCAUUUUUAAGACAAAGGGUCACCAGAGGUGGUUUGCCACUGCCUGCCUCCGAGUCACUCACCCUUGGUAUUCCUUGGAGGCCUCCUAUCCCAAAACCUGAGAGGUUGACACUGCUUGGCUUCUGAAAUCUGGCCAGAUCAGACUAACCUGAGGCUGUCUAGAUAAAUGCAUCUUUCACUGUGCCUUAAAAGUAAAGAUGUUGUGUGUGUGAAGAGCCAUAUCUGGUGAAGGCCAUAAGAGGGCCUGCCGUUUGACUGCAGCGCUGCUAUAGGCGCCUGCAGGGUCGGUUGUUUGCCUGCCUGCCUGCUGUGUUUUUGGGAUGGGAGGUUUGGCUAGGACUGACCCAAAAAGACACACAAACUUCUGAAUUCCCUCAAGCUCUUCGUUGUGCUUGAUGUAAAAUUCAUAAAGGGAGAGGAAGACGUUGAACAAGAGAGAUUUUCAUGGCUUGUGGGUAGAACAUGGAUCUGCCAUUUGCAGCUCUCAAGGAUUUGGAGGUGUUGCAGACUUAAUUGGGUUGCCUGGUGCUGGAGGCUGCUGAACUCAGGAAGCCAAGAGAGGGGCCCAUUUUGAAAAUGCAAAGAGAUGCUACCUAUUCAGAAAUGUCUUUGUUGUGUUUAUGACGUGGGCCCUGUACAGCCGAGAGGACAAAAAUAUUUGUAAAGCUAGAGAGUAUAUUAUGAUGCACUUCAGAAAGGUCAUAUUACCUAGUGGUGGGGAAAAUGUGACCUGUAAGCAGAACCCUGUGAGGAAUCAUAAGAGUUGGAAGAGGCCCGACAGGCCAUUUUAUCCAAGUCCCUGUUCCGUACAGGAUCAACAUGAAGCAGCCCAGACAAGUGUUAAAUAGAAUCAUAGGGGAUCCUUCUGAAGUGGUAAAAUCCCUUGUGAGAAAGACAGUGGAAUUUCCCCAAGUAGGAUCAGAGGGAUGUGUGAAUCCUCUGUCACAGGGCUAACAGCCUGUUUUUGAAAAGAACCGGGCCCACUACCCCCAGUUCUCUCUGUUGACGAGAUGUUUCUGGUACCCCGAGAUUGAGCUAGAAUGGUAACAUGAUUUUAUUUGACAGGUGGAAGGGGAACUUUGGAUCCUGGAAGUGAAUUACUUCACGGCUGGAGUUGAGAAUGGAUUUUCCCUUCAGGCUCCUGUCCAGGACUUCCCCACCCAACUCACCUGUGAAGGAGAAGCAGAGUUAGGUGCAUUCGGCACAUUGGCAGCGCAUCGCGUCAGAUCCUCUGGGUAGUAGCAGCAUCCCUCUUCGUUGAAGAAUGGCACUCGGGAAUCCGCACUGGCUGUUACUCCUGAAAGUGGUGUUCCUGCCACCUUUGAACACAGAUGGCCUCCAAGCACAGGGCACACAGGCUGUGUCAGGACUAAGAUACAAGCACAGUCCAAAGUAGUGAAGUCAGUAGGCUUAGAAAUGUAACGUUUUUGGGUGGCAUGUAACGAGAUCCUGAGUGGAUGGCCUUGACAUGUAUUGCAGGCUUCCUGUCCGCAAUCUUUGUGGCCAUUGAGCAAGCCCCACUUUGCAGUCCUAUUCCAUGGAUAUAUUUGUGGCAGAACCUCUUUUUAAAUAAACUUUUUUUUUAAAAAAAAA